rnacentral:lncRNA from 10 species
UUUUUUGAGACAGAGUCUUGCUCUGUCGCCCAGGCUGGAGUGCAGUGGUGUGAUCUCAGCUCACUACAACCUCCGUGUCACAGGUUCAAGCGAUUCUCCUGCCUCAGCCUCCUGAGUAGCUGGGAUUACAGUCGCCUCCCACGACACCCGGCUGAUUUUGUAUCUUUAGUAGAGAUGGGGUUUCGCCAUGUUUGUCAGGCUGGUCUCAAACUCCUCACUCAGGUGACCUGCCAGCCUCAGCCUCCCAAAGUGCUGGGAUUAACAGGCGUGAGCCACUGCACCUGGGCAAUUUUUGUAUUUUUAGUAGAGACAGGGUUUCACCAUAUUGGCCAGGCUGGUUUCAAACUCCUGACCUCAAGUGAUCCUCCCACCUCAGCCUCCCUAAGUGCUGGGAUUACAGGUGAUCUGUGCUUUAUCAACCUGCUUUGUUACUUUUCGGUCUCUCCUAUCCAUCUGACCAAACCUGGGCAUGAGAAGGGAGUAUGACUCAGGACAUGAUGCACUGUUGGGACACACCAAGCUCAGUGUCCCCUCCGGGUCACUGGCUCAAUAUCCUCUCACAACAGGCUGGUUUACAACAAAACAUCCAGGGCCACCCAGUUUCCUGAUGGUGUGGAUGUACGUGUCCCUGGCUUUGGGAAGACCUUCUCACUGGAGUUCCUGGACCCCAGCAAAAGCAGCGUGGGUUCCUAUUUCCACACCAUGGUGGAGAGCCUUGUGGGCUGGGGCUACACACGGGGUGAGGAUGUCCGAGGGGCUCCCUAUGACUGGCGCCGAGCCCCAAAUGAAAACGGGCCCUACUUCCUGGCCCUCCGCGAGAUGAUCGAGGAGAUGUACCAGCUGUAUGGGGGCCCCGUGGUGCUGGUUGCCCACAGUAUGGGCAACAUGUACACGCUCUACUUUCUGCAGCGGCAGCCGCAGGCCUGGAAGGACAAGUAUAUCCGGGCCUU